rnacentral:misc_RNA from 1 species
CUACUACUACUACUGCUACCUCAGGCUAUUACAAUUUACAACACCCAAGCAAGCUUUGGAUAAAAAGAAAGGCAAACGAGGUCGUCCUCGUACCGCUGUCCGAUGAUAUAUUUCACUUAUAUAUAUUUUUUCAAUUUUUUUAUGCCUCGAAAUUAAAAAAAAAAAAUCCAAAAUUUUUUAUGGUUUCUCUUUGAGCAGAGAAGCUAAUCCAGUCACCAUCUUAGCUCCUCUAUCUAUACUCUUCGGUUUGCCGGCCGGCGGCUGCCACGUCGCCGAAUCCAUUCUUUCUUUCUCAUCGUCGCCGGAAAUUUUCGUCGGCGGCGAUGAUGGAUCAGUGUCCAGCGCUGCCGUUUUCUCACCAAAGAUCAGCUCGAGUUCUCCGCAAGCGUCACUACUCUCCGUCGCAACCAAACACUCGUCUUUC